AUGGGAGCUGAAGGUGUAUUUCCUAAGUCAAACCUUUACAAGAGUACAACGCCUGACCAAUUUAUGGAGGUAGAGGAAGAGCUUAAUAUGCCGAGCCUUGAAUCUCUGGAAAAACGAAUGCUUGUAUCAUCGUCUGGAAAAAUUAACUUCACGAUCUUUUCUCAAUCUGACCACAAAAGGCUUUUUAUGAGGGUUUUUGCAAGCUACAUAUUUGCUCUGGUAAUUGCUUCCUUUCUUCUCGGAAGACCAAAGCAUGCAGCGGGUUUUUGGAUAGGACACUACUUCUCUGGAAGUGGAGUGGAUUAUAUAUACAGUGCUUCCUUCUCCAGCCCACUGGUUGCCUCUUCCUCUCCGAGUAUCAUUUCCAUUUAA
rnacentral:rRNA from 1 species